UGUGCAUGCGGACAUGUCUACAUGUGUGUGCAUGGGCAUGUCUACGUGUGUGUGCAUGUGGGCAUGCCUACGUGUGUGUGUGCAUGCAUGUGUGCAUGUCUACGUGUGUGUGCAUGCG
rnacentral:pre_miRNA from 1 species